rnacentral:rRNA from 1 species
GACGAACGCUGGCGGCGUGCUUAACACAUGCAAGUCGUACGGUAAGGCCCUUUCGGGGGUACACGAGUGGCGAACGGGUGAGUAACACGUGAGUAACCUGCCCACAACUUUGGGAUAACGCUAGGAAACUGGUGCUAAUACUGGAUAUGUGCUCCUGCUGCAUGGUGGGGGUUGGAAAGCUCCUGCGGUUGUGGAUGGACUCGCGGCCUAUCAGCUUGUUGGUGGGGUAGUGGCCUACCAAGGCGGCGACGGGUAGCCGGCCUGAGAGGGUGACCGGCCACAUUGGGACUGAGAUACGGCCCAGACUCCUACGGGAGGCAGCAGUGGGGAAUAUUGCACAAUGGGCGCAAGCCUGAUGCAGCAACGCCGCGUGCGGGAUGACGGCCUUCGGGUUGUAAACCGCUUUCAGCAGGGACGAAGCUUUUUGUGACGGGACCUGCAGAAGAAGCACCGGCUAACUACGU